UCGCAGUGGUAGUUGCUUGCAGACGGACUUCUUAAGAUGUUACGGGGAAACCCUACGUGCACGGAAAAAUGGUUUAAAUCGCAUAAAAAGUGCAUCGUUCGUGGCUAAGGAUAUCGCGUUCGGUUGGCGGAACGUGCAACGCGUGUUUUGUGAUAGUUUUGGUUUAGAAGUUCUCGUGAAAAAGGGGGAAAAAUAGUGAAAAGAGGUUGAAAUUUUCGAGGAUCUGUUGGGCGAUUGGGUCGAGAAGAACGCACACAGUGUAAGAGAGGGUGAUCAUCGUGGAUCGUGCGCAACACGACACCACCACAGCUACGGUGAAGGGUCUUAUUGGGGUCCAUGCAUGCUGUUGCAAGGCGGUGUGGCAUCUCGUGCGUGUGAGUAAACGGGCCACCGUUUGUUUAUGUGAAAUUGUUGGAAUUCCUUCGGUCCGAUCAUCAUCAUAUCUAUACGUAGGCAUAGGCUGGUUGGUGGCCCAUGCUGGCGACGAUCCCGGUGUGUUGUUAUUUUGCCUGGCCUGCUGCGAUCAGUUGUUAAACCAGUGUGCAUCGGUAGGAGAAUGUUUCGACUUCGGAGGCGGCGACAGCAGUGCGCGGAAUAAAGAGAAGAGAAAUAUUUCCCUUCGGGGAAAGAAGGAAGAAAAUCCACAUUUCUCCUCGGUAGUGGCAAUAACAGCGGUGCGCGCUCUGUCGCCAAUGUGACCGAUUUAAUCAUUUAUUGUGAAACGAAUUACCGAGCAAUUAGUGGCAGGAAAUCGAUAAGAGCUCAUUUAUGCUGAGUGCUACACUGAAAGGAAGACAAGUUUCUGAUUUAUAUGAUUAAAAGUGUAUCUUUAGAUCACAGAAGUCAUUACCUAAAAGUGGUGCAAGAAAGUCUAAAUAAACGAGCAAGUAAACGAGGGCAUUGAAUGACCCUUCAUAAGUGUUUCAGUGGAAAAGUGAAAAACGGUGCAACAAUACUGCCAUUUGCAUGGUGCCAUUUUCCCAUACUCAAAUGAAGUGCAGUCUCUUUGACUGAUGAAGACAACGAUAACUACACUAGAUUCCAUGUAGCACGACAGCGCGUGGUGGAACGAAGAAAGUUGCAUGUAAAUGACAAACACGACACAACCCGAGAGAUGAGUUCAUCGACCAAGACAGAAAAACACUCAGGAAUUGCACCACUGUCUGUCUUGGAUAUCCUAUAGCGCCCAAGUCGCCACAAGGAGCGCCAGAAUGGCGGAAUUCCUUCCCCUCUGUGAUGUGCUGUUCAACGUGAUCUCACUGGCCGGCUACUUCUGCGACGUGGUGUUCGACGUCGUGCUCGGCUACGCCCUGUACGAAAGGCAAAAGUUUGCCCAUUUUGCAGCCGUAAUCGUUAUCGUUAGCUUUUCGCUCGUAAUAUCACAGAUUGUUUCCGUCCGGUGGUAUUUGAACAAGCGGAAAUUAAGAGGUUCUACAGCGGCCACUACGGGACCUCCUGCGGAUGGUCCCGAUAGUUCAGAGAACAGUUUGGAGAAGAAGAAAAAGAAGCCUCCGAUUGAGCAGGUUACAAAGGCGGCGAAAUACAGCCGGUAUGCCGUACUGGCGCUACACGCCACCCAGUUGGGAGUCUUGUGGCGAUACGCGAAGCUUUUUGUACCGGUAGACCUGCGGCAUGUGAAGCACGAGGUCCGUGACCUGUGCAUGCUCCGGUUGGUGCAUGCAUUUUGUGAAGCUGCGCCGAUGUUGCUGUUGCAGUUGUACGUGCUGAUCAACUUGCAGACCGAGAACCACCUGAACACGUUGAAGCUGAAGGCACUGGCCAGUAGUCACCAUCUAUCCAGCACGGCCUUGGUGCAGCAGACGAGUCUUGCCGAGCAGCAGCAGAAAACGUUCCGGGAUCUAAACAUGGUUUCGGCAACGUUGUCCCUCUUCAGCGUCUGCUGGGCGUUGGCCAGUUUCAGCAAGAACGUGCGUCUUCAGAACGUUCACCGGCUGGUACUGACUUGGUUGGGCGUGAUAUUUCAGUUUCUGUGGCGACUCGGCACGGUGAUAUCGCGAGUUAUUUCGUUGACUGUCUAUGCGUCGGUGUACAGCCAUUGGGUGUUUCUCGUCAUAAUCCUUCACUGGUUCUCGAUGUUCCUGUGGCUCAUCUCGCCAAAAAAUGUGUUCCAUGGAGAGCGAAUUUCAAGACUGAAGAAAGCCAUGCUCGGAGGACUGAUUGCCUUCGUCUACAUAUUUGCCUACAUAAAUCUGCAGGAAGUGAAGCAUCGACAAAAAAUGCUAACCUUUUACGUGGUCAUGUUCAUGGAAAACUGUCUCCUGGUGUGCCUCUGGAUGGUUGGUAUAUGGCAUAAUCGUCCCGAAGGAUGGUACACAAUACCGAUUUCCGUACUGUGUAGCUUCGCCAUCGGAUUGUUCUUCAUGAUAGUCUACUAUCGCUAUUUUCACGUUAGACGGUUGGGCUAUGAAGCUGGUGGGCGGGCUCCAUGCACAGAUGGCGCGAGCAAGUGCGGCCACUGUUUGGAUUCCUGUCGGUGUCCGGAAAACGUGGAACAUGUGGAGAUUAGCAAAUUCACGGGAGGAUGCGGUAGCCAGAAGUACCCUCAUGCCAUACCGGGUGUGUUCAAUUGUCGAUUUUCCAAUCCGGUGAAUGCUGCUACCAAGAGGAAAAAGAAGAAACCUACCACGUUCGUACCGCCUCCGAAUCUUUCCAUGCAGCCAAACACUACCGAGCCGGGCACGCCCAUUGGUCCUAUGGCCAUACCGUUUUGGAGAAGACCUCUACCGCGAUCGCACACUGGAGGAUCCAGCGAGAACGAAGGAAGUAGUGUGGGAUCACGGGUGAACAUCCAGCAGAAAUUGCAGGAGAAGAAGCAGAAGCAAUUGGCGGAGUUGAAGAUCAUCGAGGAGGAAAUCAAACAGGGUAAACUCGGUGGACCCGGCACGGGUACUCUCAGUUCAGGAGACGAUGCCAAAGCCACUCUGCCGAGGCAACCGAUUCCUCGGGUCAAGAAGCACAUCGACAUUGAUCCGAUGGAUUGGCGACCUUCAAGUCCGGAUAUGGCGGAAAUGGUCGUCGAAAAGUCCUUCAAUGAUCUCAACCUGCUGCUGGCAGCUAACCUAGACGAUGUAAAUAAUUUAAAUAAAUUUAACUCUAACUACGAUCCCAUCUACAACAGCUUCGGCCUAAACGGAAUCAACAUUUCCGCACUAGUAACCAUGAAAAAUGCCGAAAGUCAACAGGCGUCAGCUAACAAUAGGAACAUGUCUCCCAUUUCCUCCCAAAUCUCGGCAACGGAAAGCAACUCCCUAACUCGCCAAGUUCACCCACGAACCAAAAUGCUGCCAAACAACGUGCCAAGAAAUCCGUUUGCCGAGAACUAUCGAGGAGGAAACUUUGUAAAUCUGUAUGCCGAAGCCGCUGCCAACGGACAUCGGCCACCGUCGAUCAGUCCGCGAAAUGCAGACGUAACGACAGCGAAUCGUGCCGUACUAUACGACAACCACAGUCGACUUUACAUGGAUGCAAAUCAUCCACGGCAAGUGUCCGGGACGUACAGUAGCAUGGAGAACGCCGGUGCCGAAAAUCUACCUUUUCCGUAUAAUGUGGUUCCGCCGCCGCGAAGCAAGCUGGACAGCCGUGCAACUCCCACCAUGCACAACAACAACAGUGCCACCAACACGGGCAGCAGUAGCGGGCACAACAACAAUAGCAGUAGCACCACUAGUAACCAUAACGUACUGCCGGUGACGGCGAUCAACAAUCUGAACAAUACCAAACGACAGAUGCAACGGGCCAACACGCCGGAGAUUCUGCUGGCACCGCACUACCUGGAGAACUCCCGCAUCUACUACGACUGGGUGGCACGGGAGGCGGCCAAUCUCAGAAUACAAGAAGCGGAAAGGAAUCAAUCGGUCGUGAGCAGCGGAGAUGAAAAUCUCGACAACACUGCAGUGGACGACGGUCAUAAUGGCCAUCGGAUACCGUCCGACAUUGACAGUCAGGUAUCUCUUCCCCGAUCGUACACCUUGCCACGUGAGUUCAAGUACUACCGGCGGAACAAGGGUCGCAAAACGAUCAAAAACGAACACUUCAUCGCCAGCACAAACAGUAGCGACGGUGACGUCGACAGCGGCGAUGACAACGAGUCCGAACAUCAUUCAAACAUUUCCAACAAUUCCCAGCAACGACUAAAGAACGCCACCCCGAACUCGAACCUGGGCGGCGCUGGAACGCAGCGGUUGAACAAUCUGAACAAGAACUCCGUCGCCAUGCACUACGGGCAGAACAUUUCCCCAAGUGCAACCAUGCUGGCCAAUUCCGGCGGGCCAUCGACGCUGAUCGCAUCUAGACAGGUGCUGAAUGCCACACCCCAGAGUAUGCACAGCAUGGUCAACGGGUACGACAACAACCUGAUGGCGAACAGCGUCAAGCAAGUCCACAGCCUGGACCUGAUCAAUGGGGUGGACAGCGCGAUGCAGGCCGGCGGCGGACCCAGCAGUGGACCAGUAUCCUACAACAGCAGACCCAUGCGGUUACGGAUGUACAACACCAAGAACGGGAUGGUUCGACACGAAACUAAGUUAUGAUUCACGCACUUGUAUUUUUGAGCCAAGUUCGGUCAACGGAUUGCCGAAAAUUUCGCAGAAAUCUCGGCAAAUUUGUCUGUUGGCUUUUUGGUAAUCUGUUUACUGAGCAGGCAGAAAAACGUGCCCAUGUACUAAUAAAGUUAAAUUAGAUAAUUUAUCUAGCGUAUUGUAGUUAGGUAGCAUGUUAUUAUCAAUGAAAGAAGAAAAAUAGCGAAAGCGAAACUUAUUUUGGAGAAUAUUGAAUACCUUCUUGUGAUAUAAUUUUAAUGUUUUUCAUAUUGAAGAGUCGUUGCUUUCGGCAACACACUGUGAGAAAAGCGAUAAAAAAGAAGAGACUGGCGCUUUAAAAUAACUAUUUUGAAAAAAAAACUUCAUGUGAAUAGUUUUUACACCAUAACUCGAGACAAAAAUGUUAUUUACUUUAUUACACUGAGAACUUAGAUAAUUUCCUGUAACUCACAUAGCAUGUAAGCUGAUUAGAAAUACAUUUUUAAUAAAACUAAUUAUUUAUUUUUUUUUUUCGUGGAAAAGAAAUCCCGGUUAUGAUUUGGGUGUGAACUGGGCGAGGAUACCACAUCACUGCAUCUAACUCAAACAAAAGGCCUAACGGGUGAAUCAAACUCCACCGAGGUUUGGUCAUUUACGUAGAGCAUUGUUCAAACACAUCCGUUGGAGUUGAAAUAUCACACUCCGAGUGCUUGCAGGUCCUCCUCGAGCAUGGUCCAUGUCUCGUGUCCGUAGAGGACCACCGAUCUUAU